rnacentral:rRNA from 1 species
AGUGAACGCUGGCGGCGUGCCUAAUACAUGCAAGUCGAACGGAGUGGCGCACGGGUGAGUAAUAUAUAGCUAAUCUGCCCCUUGCUGGAGGACAACAGUUAGAAAUGACGGCUAAUACUCCAUAGCAAGGGAUGAGACUAUAUCGUAUCAGCUAGUCGGUGGGGUAACGGCCUACCGAGGCUAUGACGCGUAACUGGUCUGCGAGGAUGAUCAGUCAACUUGUAACGGAGGCAGGGGUCAAACUCCUACGGGAAGCAGCGGUAGGCAAUAUUGCGCAAUGGGGGAGACCCUGACGCGGCGUCGGGGCGUGGAGGAUGACACGUUUCGGAGAGUAAACUCCUUUUGUUAGGGACGCGGUACCUAACGAAUAAGCACCGGCUAACUCCGUGCCAGCAGCCGCGGUAAUUC